GAGAAGAUGAGUGAGAACUUGUCAUUUCCUGAAUGACAACACAAACUGUCAAAAGAAAAUCACAAGACGGAGAGAUGUGUCUGUACUUAAAACUGUGUCUCUGCAUGCUUUUACAGACUAGACUUGGACUCCAGUCAUCUGACCAUAGGCCCACAAGAAUCUUUGCUUCAAUUGGAGACAGUGUGAGUUUACCAUGUGGUACAUCCUACAUCAAUUCCUGCUCCUCUGUUACCUGGAGUAUAGUGAAAGAUGGGUUUCCUAACCAAUUAGAACUAUCAGGCAAGGUGAAAACGGAUGGUCCAAACUCAGGAAGAGCCAGUCGACUGAAAGUGGGACAUGACUGCUCUCUACAUAUUCAACCUCUUGAAAUAGAUGAUGGAAGACUUUACACCUGUGAAGAUGGGGAUACCAGUUCAAGUGUUUCUCUUCAGCUUCUCAACAUUACUCUGGCAACAGACACCAAUACAGCACCAGAGAUGGAUAUCAAGCUCCAAUGUUACCUGAAUAUAUUCUCAGGCCUUGUCCCACAAUGCAACCAAAGUGAAAUAAAGCUGAAUUGGCUGAAUGAGGCCAAUACAGUGCUACAGGGAGAGAGAUUUCAAACCGAACGUUCAUCUGCUUGCCUCUCUACGCUGACCAUCCGAGGUGUCAGGAAGACAGACCAUCACAGGAAGUGGCGGUGUCAACUGAUUGAAGGAGAGGUUGUGAAGACGUCCCUCAGCUAUACCACAGAAAUUACAGGAGGUAUAGAGGAAGUGUUUGUCGCAGUGGGUGAGUCAGUAUCACUUCCCUGUGCCACCCACUCCUCUCUCGAGGUGGGCAGCAGAUUCCAGUGGACUCUGGGUCAAAGGUCACUGUCCAGUCUGUCUCGGUCAGGCGAUGUCUCAGCUGGAACUCAGGGUCACCUUCCUGCAUCUCACAUCAGCCAAGACGGGUCUUUGGUCAUCAGCAAUGUGAAAACACUGCAUUCUGGGCUCUACAACUGCUCGCAACAGAACAGAAUCUUACUACACACUCUGGAUGUAUCUGCAGAGCAUGCUACCACAGACGGAAACAAUCUCACCCUGACCUGCUCACUCACCUGUGUGGAAGAUUGUGGAGACUUCAAUUUAUCCUGGAUUCACAGUGGCCAAGAUGGGUUGCAGAGUGGCCCUAUAGGACAUAACAACACCCUCAUCUCCAAACUCUUCCUCCCUGACCGCCAGGGCACAGAGAAGAUAGCCUGCGCCGUGCUCAGAGAGGGGGUUGAAAUGGCUGUAAAGGAGUGGACCAUCCAGAGAGGUAAGACUUUUGAAAGUAGUUUGGAACAAUGCAUAGCCAUGAUCUGUGUUGAGGCUGUAUUCUUUCAUUACUGUGAUGUUGUGAUAAGAUAUUGAGUUGUAAUACAGUAUCUGUGACUUUAUACGUCUUUGCAAAUAGGUCGUGUUCUACCUGCAGUGGGAUGGUCAGUCCUUCUGCUACUGCUGCUCUGUGCUGUUGGAGGGGGCGUGUAUUGGAAGAGGCAGGGCAAGGGAAGUGCUGCUCGUACGUAUUUGUUCACUGGUUAGAUUGUGUGUGUUUUACAAAACUGCAAUUUGGAUGUUGCAUCCUUGAUAAAACCUACAGUAAUGAACCGCAGUGAAAAAGAAAGCCAUAUCAUCGGAAUUAAAUUCAUGUGAAAUAAAGCUGACAUUUGUCCCUCUUUGCCUAUAGAAGGAGAAGAACAGCAGACAACUGUUGCAAUGGUAAGGAUUCAAUAAAACACAACUAUGUAAUUCACUAACAAGUGAAGCCCAAUUGAGUAUGCCUACAACGUCACAUCAAAUUUGACUAAAUGUCUUCUAAUCCUUUCACCAUGUUGGUGAACUAAAUUCAACUGGUUUUACACAUUCCUUCUUUUCUUCGCAGACUCAUCUCUAUGAGGAGAUUCAAGGUCGACCAAUUCAACCUUCCGGAGUAACCAACAACAGUUUCUAUGAUCUUCUGCAGGCUGGGAACUGAGUGUAAUGUCAUGUCCUCUAUCUUUAGGCUAUUAGUUGAGUUUUAAAUCUAAUUUGACUACUUUGUACUUGGCAUUGUUUUGUGGUUUGGAUUUCCCUUGAUAUUUUGGAACAUUAUAAGUGUCACCAUGACAUCAAGUCUAUGCAGGUUGUUUUUUAUGGUGGAAAUAAAUUCAUAAAAAGAAAAUAACCUCUAUAGAAUAUCACCAGUUACCACAGUUAAAAACCCCGACAUAAGUUGGUUACAGGAACACAUUCAGUAUGACUCCUCAGUGUGGGGGGUUGAUGGCUAAGUCAUCCCACCUCCUGUCUUGAACAUCACUCUGCUGACUUUCACAUCCCACAUGAAACCUGGUAGCUUCUCUUCAGCAGUGUAAAACUCUGUAGAUGUAUGGGACUGAGACAAGACACAUCCCACAUGAAACCUGGUAGCUUCUCUUCAGCAGUGUAAAACUCUGUAGAUGUAUGGGACUGAGACAAGGCACAUAACACAUGAGAGUGAACAGAUAAGUGUGUUUAUUUAAUACAGGAUGGCAGUGUGUGAGCAUUAGCAAUACAAGUAAAAACCCCAGAACAGCAUGUCUCUCUGUCUGGAACAGCUCCCAACUACACAUCAUUUGGUGUAGAAAAGCGUCAGCAAAAGUUGGUCCACCAUGGGGUCACAAAUAAAGGAAUAAGUCCAAUCAAAUCAAGCUAAAUACAAUUGGUCACCUCAUCCAUUUGAUGAUUUCACAACUAAGAUUGUUAUUGUGUAAUACUAUGUAGGCUAUACCAGGGGUUGAAAGAUAAGAUUGUUAUUGUGUAAUACUAUGUAGGCUAUACCAGGGGUUGAAAGAUAAGAGUGUUAUUGUGUAAUACUAUGUAGGCUAUACCAGGGGUUGAAAGAUAAGAUUGUUAUUGUGUAAUACUAUGUAGGCUUUCCAGGGGUUGAAAGAUAAGAGUGUUAUUGUGUAAUACUAUGUAGGCUAUACCAGGGGUUGAAAGAUAAGAGUGUUAUUGUGUAAUACUAUGUAGGCUAUACCAGGGGUUGAAAGAUAAGAGUGUUAUUGUGUAAUACUAUGUAGGCUAUACCAGGGGUUGAAAGAUAAGAGUGUUAUUGUGUAAUACUAUGUAGGCUUUCCAGGGGUUGAAAGAUAAGAGUGUUAUUGUGUAAUACUAUGUAGGCUAUACCAGGGGUUGAAAGAUAAGAGUGUUAUUGUGUAAUACUAUGUAGGCUAUACCAGGGGUUGAAAGAUAAGNNNNNNNNNNAGUGUGAAGUUCCUUAUCAAGUUAGUCUCUCAUCUCAGAGUCCAAUCUCAGUUCUCCAAGGCCUAGUUUCUAUAUGGGUCAUGAAUACACAUUUGCGGGGAAACAU
rnacentral:lncRNA from 13 species